rnacentral:rRNA from 1 species
AGGAAUAUUGGUCAAUGGACGAGAGUCUGAACCAGCCAAGUAGCGUGAAGGAUGACUGCCCUAUGGGUUGUAAACUUCUUUUAUAUGGGAAUAAAGUGCAGUAUGUAUACUGUUUUGUAUGUACCAUACGAAUAAGGAUCGGCUAACUCCGUGCCAGCAGCCGCGGUAAUACGGAGGAUCCGAGCGUUAUCCGGAUUUAUUGGGUUUAAAGGGAGCGUAGGCGGAUUAUUAAGUCAGUUGUGAAAGUUUGCGGCUCAACCGUAAAAUUGCAGUUGAUACUGGUAGUCUUGAGUGCAGCAGAGGUAGGCGGAAUUCGUGGUGUAGCGGUGAAAUGCUUAGAUAUCACGAAGAACUCCGAUUGCGAAGGCAGCUUACUGGACUGUAACUGACGCUGAUGCUCGAAAGUGUGGGUAUCAAACAGGAUUAGAUACCCUGGUAGUCCACACAGUAAACGAUGAAUACUCGCUGUUUGCGAUAUACAGCAAGCGGCCAAGCGAAAGCAUUAAGUAUUCCACCUGGGGAGUACGCCGGCAACGGUGAAACUCAAAGGAAUUGACGGGGGCCCGCACAAGCGGAGGAACAUGUGGUUUAAUUCGAUGAUACGCGAGGAACCUUACCCGGGCUUAAAUUGCAACUGACGGAUUUGGAAACAGAUCUUCCUUCGGGCAGUUGUGAAGGUGCUGCAUGGUUGUCGUCAGCUCGUGCCGUGAGGUGUCGGCUUAAGUGCCAUAACGAGCGCAACCCUUAUCUUUAGUUACUAACAGGUCAUGCUGAGGACUCUAGAGAGACUGCCGUCGUAAGAUGUGAGGAAGGUGGGGAUGACGUCAAAUCAGCACGGCCCUUACGUCCGGGGCUACACACGUGUUACAAUGGGGGGUACAGAAGGCAGCUACACAGCGAUGUGAUGCUAAUCCCAAAAGCCUCUCUCAGUUCGGAUUGGAGUCUGCAACCCGACUCCAUGAAGCUGGAUUCGCUAGUAAUCGCGCAUCAGCCACGGCGCGGUGAAUACGUUCCCG